rnacentral:rRNA from 1 species
UACGUAGGGGGCAAGCGUUGUCCGGAUUUAUUGGGCGUAAAGCGCUCGCAGGUGGUCCGUCGCGUCGUGCGUGAAAGACCCCGGCUCAACUGGGGAGGGUCGUGCGAUACGGGCGGACUGGAGGCCAGUAGGGGGAUGCGGAAUUCCGGGUGUAGUGGUGGAAUGCGUAGAGAUCCGGAGGAACACCAGCGGCGAAGGCGGCAUCCUGGACUGGUCCUGACACUCAGGAGCGAAAGCGUGGGGAGCGAACAGG